UACGAAGGGGGCUAGCGUUGCUCGGAAUCACUGGGCGUAAAGGGUGCGUAGGCGGGUUUUUAAGUCAGGGGUGAAAUCCUGGAGCUCAACUCCAGAACUGCCUUUGAUACUGAAGAUCUUGAGUCCGGGAGAGGUGAGUGGAACUGCGAGUGUAGAGGUGAAAUUCGUAGAUAUUGGGUGGAACACCGGUGGCGAAAGCGGCUCUCUGGUCCGGACCUGACGCUGAGGCGCGAAAGCGUGGGGAGCAAACAGG
rnacentral:rRNA from 1 species